rnacentral:rRNA from 1 species
UCGAGAAUCUUCCGCAAUGGGCGCAAGCCUGACGGAGCGACGCCGCGUGGAGGACGAAGGCCUUCGGGUUGUAAACUCCUGUCACGGGUUAUGAAUUGCGCAGUGUGAACAAUGCUGCGAGUGACGUAAGCCCGAGAGGAAGCACUGGCUAACUCUGUGCCAGCAGCCGCGGUAAUACAGAGAGUGCGAACGUUGUUCGGAAUUACUGGGCUUAAAGCGCACGUAGGCGGCGCCGCAAGUGCGGGGUGAAAUCCCACGGCUUACCCGUGGAACUGCCUUGCAGACUGUGGUGCUAGAGGAUGGUAGGGGAGAGCGGAACUCCUGGUGGAGCGGUGAAAUGCGUAGAUAUCAGGAGGAACACCGGUGGCGAAGGCGGCUCUCUGGUCCAUGACUGACGCUGAGGUGCGAAAGCUAGGGGAGCAAACGGGAUUAGAUACCCCUGUAGUCC